UACGGAGGGGGCUAGCGUUGUUCGGAAUUACUGGGCGUAAAGCGCACGUAGGCGGCUUUACAAGUCAGGGGUGAAAGCCCGCGGCUCAACCGCGGAAUUGCCCUUGAGACUGUAUCGCUUGAACACGGGAGAGGUGAGUGGAAUUCCGAGUGUAGAGGUGAAAUUCGUAGAUAUUCGGAAGAACACCAGUGGCGAAGGCGGCUCACUGGCUCGACACUGACGCUGAGGUGCGAAAGCGUGGGGAGCAAACAGG
rnacentral:rRNA from 1 species